AGAGGUGGGAGGUACGGCGUGAACACGGUCUGCUGCAUGGCGAGCAACAGUGCUGGCACGGCCAAUCACAGCGCUGAGCUGCUUGUCUUUGAUGCCUGUGACCUCACCCUGGACGCCAACACGGCCCACAAACAACUCUCUCUGUCUGAGGACAACAGGAAGGUGAGGCGGGUUGGAGAGGACCAGUCGUAUCCAAAUCACCCAGACAGAUUUGACUCCUGGCCCCAGGUGUUGGGUAGAGAGGCUCUGACUGGCCGCUGUUACUGGGAGGUAGAGUGGGAAGGAGGGGUUGAGAUAGGAGUGACAUACAGAGGAAUCACAAGGAGAGGAGGGGGUGGUGACAGCAGGCUUGGACUGAACAACAAGUCCUGGAGUCUUUAUUGUUAUGAUGAUGGUCGUUACUCUGCCCGGUACAACGGUAUAGAGACAGCCCUCCCUCUCCCCGCCGCUGGCUCCACCAGAGUAGGAGUGUAUCUGGACCGGCCUGCUGGCUCUCUGUCCUUCUACAGAGUGUCCCCAGGUGGAGGAGGGUCCUCAGACACACUGACACACCUCCACACCUUCUGGUCCUCCUUCACCCAGGAGGACCUCCUCCCGGGGGUGAGGGUAGGGUGGGGGUGGGGGUCCUCAGCCUCUCUGUGUCGGUUGUAGAAAAUAAAAACGGGCGCGGGUCCCCGGGGCCGCAGUGAUCCCUCAGAUGUAGAAAAAUGGGGGGGGGGGGGGGGGGGGCAGCGGGGGGCAGACUCAGUGUCGUAAAAAAACAACAACUGAUUGGAUCCAACUGAAUGUUCUCGUGUGUUCAGCCGAUGAUUUCUCAUUUUAUUAGUUAAUAAUGCUUCCAUAAGUGCCUUAAGAAAAAUUAUUAAUAGAACAACUAAUGUUUUUCCGAUAUUAUUCUUGGACCUCCUCCCUGGGUUUUGGUUGGGGGGGGGGGGGGGGGGGGUGCCUCAGUGUUUCUGUUUCGGCUGUAGAAAGAAACCACAGACAGACGCCCUGAUUAGAUUUGAUUAGAUUAGAUUCAAUUUUAUUGUCAUUGCACAAGUAAGGACAACCAGUACAACGAAAUGCAGUUUAGCAUCUAACCAGUAGUGCAAUCAAUAAAACGUUUUUGUUAAAGCAGCGCUAUAAGAUAAUAAUAAUAAUAAGACAUAAGACACAGAUAGCAGAUAGCAGCUGGUCAACAAAGUUAAAAAUAUCCAUACAAACUCUCUGUCUCUCUCUCUCCCCCUCUCUCUCCCUCUCUCUCCCUCUCUCUCCCUCUCUCUCCCUCUCUCUCUCUCUCUCUCCCUC